GCGACGCAGAAGACGGGUGAUUUCUGCAUUUCCAUCUGAGUCUCAACAGCUUGGGAAGCCAAGGCUGAACCCUUAAAGGAGCUGCACUGGGAAGGGAAGAUCUGGUGGAAAACUCAUGCAAGAUUCAGGCUUUGCAGGCAAGGAGCUAAAUCUGACAUGACAGAUAACAGAGUUUUCUGGACUUCUGGAGAAUAAGAUUAUUAUUCUCAAGGAGAGAUGAUCACCUCAGGAAAAUCUGGACUAUUGAAAAAAAAAGGUAGUAAAUACAACACAAUUUUUCCUGUUAAACAUUUUGCAUAUAAACGAAAUACAGUGUGGGCUUUAGAAAUAUUUUGAUAUGAAAGUAGCACUUCAAGAGAUUUGUGGUUUUGCAUCUUCCUCUAGAGCUCUGUACAAGAAAAAUACUCUAUCCCUGCAACUUCACAAAAAUGAUUAGGUAUUGCUUUUGGAAGUACUUAUUAUCAAUAAGACGCCUCCCCACCUUUGGGGACUUCUUGCAGGUUGUUGGAAAAAAGCUAAAAAGAGCACCUCAAAAUAUCCUCAGUGGCUUUUUUGAAGAACUUUAGAAGCCUUGGAGCCUGCUCAUGGAACAGUUUUGAGGUGGAGGCAGGCAGGAAAACACUGAGUUUGAGUAACAAAGAAGCGAGAGAAUAUUAACCUUUGACAGCUCCAUAACUACUCUCACCCCACUCUCGAAAAACAAAACAAAACACAUACAGGAAUAUAACAAGCAAUGUGAAGUCAGUGGGGAGAGGAGAGGGAAGCAGACAGCUGGAAAGUUACUGCAGCAAGUAGAAAGAGAAACCCAAAUUGUGAACAUUAAAAACGAUUCGUAAAUCUCUCCUCCCUGCCUUCUGAAUAAAACCAUACCCUGCCUGGAGACACUAGCCUCCUCUAAGACUUCAGUAAUUCGUCCUGAUGCACGCAGUACUAGUCCAAUCCAUUUUCUAGUUUGCAGAGGAAAAUCCGGUCCGGCGUUUAUUUUUAGCAGCGCU
rnacentral:lncRNA from 1 species